rnacentral:rRNA from 1 species
GGAGUAUGGACCGUGUCUCAGUUCCAUUGUGGGGGACCUUCCUCUCAGAACCCCUACCCAUCGUCGGUUUGGUGGGCCGUUACCCCGCCAACUGCCUAAUGGGACGCGAGCCAAUCCGUGGCCGCCGAAGCUUUCAAACAAAGUCCAUGCGAACUCUGUUGUUACGGGGUCUUAGACGACGUUUCCAUCGCUUAUCCCCCUGCCACGGGCAUGUUGCUCACGCGUUACGCACCCUUCCGCCGGUCGCCGCCAGAGUAUUGCUACCCCGCGCUGCCCCUCGACUUGCAUGUGUUAAGCCUGCCGCUAGCGUUCAUC